AGGCUGAAACUCGCCUAUAUGAAGUCGGAAUUGCUAGUAAUCGCAGACCAGCAUGCUGCGGUGAAUACGUUCCCGGGCCUUGUACACACCGCCCGUCACACCAUGAGAGUCGAUAACACCCGAAGCCUGUAGUCUAACCAUAAGGAGGACGCAGUCGAAGGUGGGAUUGAUAAUUAGGGUGAAGUCGUAACAAGGUAAC
rnacentral:rRNA from 1 species